rnacentral:rRNA from 1 species
CCCUUAGAUGUCCUGGGCCGCACGCGCGUUACACUGAUGCAUUCAACGAGCUUAUAACCUUGGCCGAGAGGCCUGGGCAAUCUUGUUAACGUGCAUCGUGAUAGGGAUAGAUUAUUGAAAUUAUUAAUCUUGAACGAGGAAUUCCUAGUAAACGCAGAUCAUCAAUCUGCAUUGAUUACGUCCCUGCCCUUUGUACACACCGCCCGUCGCUACUACCGAUUGAAUGGUUUAGUGAGAUCUCUGGAUUGACGCUGGCUAGGGGGCGACCCUUGGCCAGGCUGUCGAGAAACUGCUCAAACUUGAUCAUUUAGAGGAAGUAAAAGUCGUAACA